rnacentral:rRNA from 1 species
AUUGAACGCUGGCGGCAUGCUUUACACAUGCAAGUCGAACGGUAACAGGUUAAGCUGACGAGUGGCGAACGGGUGAGUAAUGCAUCGGAACGUGCCCGGUCGUGGGGGAUAACACUUCGAAAGAAGUGCUAAUACCGCAUACGAUCUGAGGAUGAAAGCGGGGGACCGUAAGGCCUCGCGCGAUCGGAGCGGCCGAUGUCAGAUUAGGUAGUUGGUGGGGUAAAGGCCUACCAAGCCGACGAUCUGUAGCUGGUCUGAGAGGACGGCCAGCCACACUGGGACUGAGACACGGCCCAGACUCCUACGGGAGGCAGCAGUGGGGAAUUUUGGACAAUGGGCGCAAGCCUGAUCCAGCAAUGCCGCGUGCAGGAAGAAGGCCUUCGGGUUGUAAACUGCUUUUGUGCGGAGCGAAAAGGCUCUCUCUAAUACAGGGGGCUGAUGACGGUACCGUAAGAAUAAGCACCGGCUAACUACGUGCCAGCCGCCGCCGUAA